GGAGGAAAAGAAACCAACAGGGAUUGCCUCAGUAACGGCGAGUGAAGCGGCAAAAGCUCAAAUUUUAAAGCUGACAUCUUCGGUGUCCGCGUUGUAAUUUUGUGAGGCAUCUCCGGGUAGGGCGCCGGCCUAAGUUCCUUGGAACAGGACGUCACAGAGGGUGAGAAUCCCGUGCUUGGCUGGCUGUCCCCGUCCAUGUGAGGUGUCUUCGACGAGUCGAGUUGUUUGGGAAUGCAGCUCAAAAUGGGUGGUAAAUUUCAUCUAAAGCUAAAUAUUGGUGGGAGACCGAUAGCGCACAAGUAGAGUGAUCGAAAGAUGAAAAGCACUUUGAAAAUAGAGUUAAAAAGUACGUGAAAUUGUUGAAAGGGAAGCGCUUGAGACCAGACUUCGGUAAGGGGUGAUCAGCCGUCCUUCUGGGCGGUGCACUUGCCCCCCUCCGGGCCAGCAUCGGUUGAGGCGGCGGGAUAAAGGUCCCGGGAAUGUGGCUCCUUCACGGGAGUGUUAUAGCCCGGGUGAAUGCCGCCAGCUUCGACCGAGGACCGCACCCGCAAGGGUUAGGAUGCUUGGCAUAAUGGUCUUCAGCGACCCGUCUG
rnacentral:rRNA from 1 species